rnacentral:tRNA from 1 species
GGAUACAGCUCAGUGGUAGAGCUUGUGCUUAGCAUGCAUGAGGGUGAGGUCCUGGGUUCAACUCCCAGUACCUCCA